rnacentral:rRNA from 1 species
GAGCGCCGUAGCAAUACGGAGCGGCAGACGGGAGAGUAACACGUGGGAACGUGCCCUUCAGUUCGGAACAACCCAGGGAAACUUGGGCUAAUACCGGAUACGUCCGUAAGGAGAAAGAUUUAUCGCUGAAGGAUCGGCCCGCGUCUGAUUAGCUUGUUGGUGAGGUAACGGCCCACCAAGGCGACGAUCAGUAGCUGGUCUGAGAGGAUGAUCAGCCUCACUGGGACUGAGACACGGCCCAGACUCCUACGGGAGGCAGCAGUGGGGAAUAUUGGACAAUGGGCGCAAGCCUGAUCCAGCCAUGCCGCGUGGGUGAUGAAGGCCCUAGGGUUGUAAAGCCCUUUCGGCGGGGAAGAUAAUGACGGUACCCGCAGAAGAAGCCCCGGCUAACUUCGUG